rnacentral:rRNA from 1 species
CUGAGACAGGUGCUGCAUGGCUGUCGUCAGCUCGUGUUGUGAAAUGUUGGGUUAAGUCCCGCAACGAGCGCAACCCUUAUCCUUUGUUGCCAGCGAGUAAUGUCGGGAAACUCAAAGGAGACUGCCGGUGAUAAACCGGAGGAAGGUGGGGAUGACGUCAAGUCAUCAUGGCCCUUACGAGUAGGGCUACACACGUGCUACAAUGGCAUAUACAAAGAGAAGCGAGCUCGCGAGAGCAAGCGGACCUCAUAAAGUAUGUCGUAGUCCGGAUUGGAGUCUGCAACUCGACUCCAUGAAGUCGGAAUCGCUAGUAAUCGUAGAUCAGAAUGCUACGGUGAAUACGUUCCCGGGCCUU